AACGAACGCUGGCGGCAUGCCUAACACAUGCAAGUCGAACGAAGCCUUCGGGCUUAGUGGCGCACGGGUGCGUAACGCGUGGGAAUCUGCCCUUGGGUUCGGAAUAACAGUUAGAAAUGACUGCUAAUACCGAAUGAUGUCUUCGGACCAAAGAUUUAUCGCCCAAGGAUGAGCCCGCGUCGGAUUAGCUAGUUGGUGAGGUAAAGGCUCACCAAGGCGACGAUCCGUAGCUGGUCUGAGAGGAUGAUCAGCCACACUGGGACUGAGACACGGCCCAGACUCCUACGGGAGGCAGCAGUGGGGAAUAUUGGACAAUGGGCGAAAGCCUGAUCCAGCAAUGCCGCGUGAGUGAUGAAGGCCUUAGGGUUGGUAAAGACUCUUUUACCCGGGUAUGAUAAUGACAGUACCGGGAGAA
rnacentral:rRNA from 1 species